UCUUGUGUAUCCCUACCUUGUGGAGAUAGAUAGCCUAUUUCCAAUAGACAAAAUGAGCCAGAGAAAGAAGGUGAAAGAUAAAAUGGUGACAUCAAUUGAGCAAGUGACUAUCCCCGAUCAUCUUCCUGAGUUCUUUAAGAUUUAUCACCCUCAAAUAUGCAACCCCCAACUGAAAUCAAAGCGAAGUUAUAUUCCGUUUUGUGUCUCCUUUGCUUGGAGAAUUCCAUCGACCUUUCUCUAGUUUUUCAAUGGAGAUAUUCCUCCGAACUCUAGGGAGAUCUUGGAAGGUUUUUGUGGAAAAGAAUGACAAUGAUUUCUUUUUCAUGGGAGUUGGCCAGACUUUGUGCGGGACAAUAAUUUGGAAUUUGGAGAAUUUUUAACCUUUUCCUAUGCUGGAAAUUCGAAGUUUACGUUAAAAUACUUGGGAUAAAUGGCAGCUUAAAGCGGGACGUAACUGCCAUCAAAGAACAUGGGAUGCAUCCAUUGGACAAAGAAAUUGUGCGUGGUAAGUUUCUUUCAAGGUCUUCAGUUUGUAGCUAGUUUGGUGCAACACAUCCCUCUUCAUGUUAAACUUCAGUUCCAAAAAUAGUCAACUUACAAAUGAGCAACUGGUUUAGAGAUAACUACUGCACCUCUUCCAGCUGAUCAAGCACUUAAUGGAUCAGGACACUUGGUUGUCUAAGUCCCUUCAUUCUUGUCAUCAAGUCAUCCUAUAUCCAAAAAAGCGCUUGGUAAGUAAUUAUAUUUGCUAAUUUGCAUGUAUUCAAAAAUCCUUGGAACGAAUUUUCGAAGAUGUCAUUAAAUACAAUUGCUUUAGUAUAAAAAAUGCAACACAGUAUCAAAAAUUCAUGUAAACUAGUCACUUUAUCCGGUGGCAUAUUUAAUUCCUUUUACAAGUGUUUCUAGUAUUGAGAA